GGGUGCUUGCCUGUAGAAUAGACUAUGUUAACAGGUUGUAAUAACAUAUACACACCAUUGUUCAAAUAUCCACAAAAAAUUGUAAUACCAUUCAUAAUGAUAUUACAAACUUGUUUCUCUAUUGAAAUUUCAUAAUCAUUUUUGGCCAGAAGGCCUACAGAAAUAAUAUUUUAAAAAAAAUUGGGACUGAAAUGACAAUC
rnacentral:lncRNA from 1 species